rnacentral:tRNA from 1 species
UCCCUGGUGGCUCAGUGAUAAAGAAUCUGAUUGCCAAUCAGGAGACAAGGGUUCAAUCCCUGAUCCAGGAA